AAAUUGAAGAGUUUGAUCAUGGCUCAGAUUGAACGCUGGCGGCAGGCCUAACACAUGCAAGUCGAACGGUAACAGGAAACAGCUUGCUGUUUCGCUGACGAGUGGCGGACGGGUGAGUAAUGUCUGGGAAACUGCCUGAUGGAGGGGGAUAACUACUGGAAACGGUAGCUAAUACCGCAUAAUGUCGCAAGACCAAAGAGGGGGACCUUCGGGCCUCUUGCCAUCGGAUGUGCCCAGAUGGGAUUAGCUAGUAGGUGGGGUAACGGCUCACCUAGGCGACGAUCCCUAGCUGGUCUGAGAGGAUGACCAGCCACACUGGAACUGAGACACGGUCCAGACUCCUACGGGAGGCAGCAGUGGGGAAUAUUGCACAAUGGGCGCAAGCCUGAUGCAGCCAUGCCGCGUGUAUGAAGAAGGCCUUCGGGUUGUAAAGUACUUUCAGCGGGGAGGAA
rnacentral:rRNA from 1 species